AUUGAACGCUGGCGGCAGGCCUAACACAUGCAAGUCGGACGGUAGCACAGAGGAGCUUGCUCCUCGGGUGACGAGUGGCGGACGGGUGAGUAAUGUCUGGGGAUCUGCCCGAUAGAGGGGGAUAACCACUGGAAACGGUGGCUAAUACCGCAUAACGUCGCAAGACCAAAGAGGGGGACCUUCGGGCCUCUCACUAUCGGAUGAACCCAGAUGGGAUUAGCUAGUAGGCGGGGUAAUGGCCCACCUAGGCGACGAUCCCUAGCUGGUCUGAGAGGAUGACCAGCCACACUGGAACUGAGACACGGUCCAGACUCCUACGGGAGGCAGCAGUGGGGAAUAUUGCACAAUGGGCGCAAGCCUGAUGCAGCCAUGCCGCGUGUAUGAAGAAGGCCUUCGGGUUGUAAAGUACUUUCAGCGGGGAGGAAGGCGGUGAGGUUAAUAACCUCACCGAUUGACGUUACCCGCAGAAGAAGCACCGGCUAACUCCGUGCCAGCCGCCGCCGUAA
rnacentral:rRNA from 1 species